GCAACAAACAUUUAUUUUUCUCUCCAUUUCUUUGAGUCAGAAAUCUGAAACAGCUUAGCUGUGGCUUCAGACUCAGAAGUCCCUCAUAAGUCUGCAGUCGAGGUACUUAGAGCUGUGGUCAUCUCAAGGCUUGAUUGGGAAAUGCUGCACUUCCAGUCUGGCUGUGAGUGGGAUUCAACUGUGGAAUGGUAGGCUUCAGGUUUUCACCGGCUGUUAGCCAGAGGACUCGCUCAGGUGUUUGUUUUGGUCACAGUUUGUUUGUUUUGGUCACAUUGGUCUCUCUAUAAGGCACCUCCCAUCACAGUAGCUCACAUUAUUCCAUCAGAGUGAGCAAAUAAGAGAUCAAGAGAAGUGAGUAAAAUGGAAGGCAGAGUAUAUUUACAAACUAAUCUUGGAAGUAAUAUCUAGUCACAUUUUUGGCAGACUAUUCAUCAAGACUAAGUCACUAGGUUUCUCUCCUUGUAUUGACUAUAAAAUAACUAUCAAAUAUUAAUAACUUGAAAAUACAAUAUUAGGAUAGGGUUAAGAUAGUAUUUAGAAAUAAUAUUGCAGUACUCACCCACAAAGGAAAAUCAGUCCAAACUGUAUAUAUACACGUUUACAUAGAAUUGAAUGAUCAGUCUCCACAUCUCAAAAUUGCUUGUGGAGGAAAAGCUGGAAAUACAUAUUUACUGGCAGAUGACACCAAAUAUGUCAAUACAGAAUGGUAAGAUGGAAGUUUUUUUUCUAAUUAUAUUGAAUAAGAUUUUAUUAAAAUUGUCCCACGGACAUCGAUUUCUUAAGAAUAAUAUUUUCUAUAUAUGAGCAGUUCAUUGUGCUCUGUGGUGCAUUAGAUCCACACAGGAUAAUUACAAUUUGGGCUAUGAGAGGUUAAGAACAAAACCACACCUGUUUGGUAAAUGAUUAUUCCAAUUUUGAGAUAGAAGUCCAGGCUUAGUAUUGGGUCCUAGUAGAGACCGAAUGCUUAAAUAUGUGGUACAAAAUGGCCGUAAACUUCAGCUGCUCUUUGUGAAAUGGAUGUUUUCUUACUCAGGAAGCCAUAAUGUAUCCAUGGCCAGUAACAAAAUAUAUUCUGGCUAAAGCUGGUUGAUAAAUCACAAGUAAGUUGCAUCAGCAGGUGAAUUCUUAGUGAAUGUAUUCUUGCUGCACUGGCAACUAAACCCUCAUCUAUGGACACUUGGGAAUUCAUAAUGUACAGGGAAUGAACCAGAAAAAAGAAUUCAAGAC
rnacentral:lncRNA from 1 species